rnacentral:rRNA from 1 species
GGGAAUCUUCCACAAUGGACGCAAGUCUGAUGGAGCAACGCCGCGUGAGUGAAGAAGGUUUUCGGACCGUAAAGCUCUGUUGCUGGUGAAGAAGGAUAGAGGUAGUAACUGGCCUUUAUUUGACGGUAAUCAACCAGAAAGUCACGGCUAACUACGUGCCAGCAGCCGCGGUAAUCGUAGGUGGCAAGCGUUGUCCGGAUUUAUUGGGCGUAAAGCGAGCGCAGGCGGAAGAAUAAGUCUGAUGUGAAAGCCCUCGGCUUAACCGAGGAAUUGCAUCGGAAACUGUUUUUCUUGAGUGCAGAAGAGGAGAGUAGAACUCCAUGUGUAGCGGUGGAAUGCGUAGAUAUAUGGAAGAAUACCAGUGGCGAAGGCGGCUCUCUGGUCUGCAACUGACGCUGAGGCUCGAAAGCAUGGGUAGCGAACAGGAUUAGAUACCCUGGUAGUCCAUGCCGUAAACGAUGAGUGCUAAGUGUUGGGAGGCUUCCGCCUCUCAGUGCUGCAGCUAACGCAUUAAGCACUCCGCCUGGGGGAGUACGACCGCAAGGUUGAAAC